GAGGGUAUAGCUCAGUGGUAGAGUGCUUGUUUAGCAUUCAUGAGGUCCUGGGUUCAAUCCCCAGUACCUCCA
rnacentral:tRNA from 1 species